AGUCAUGAAGACCUGUGAAACAGGAAGAAGAGGGAUUAUAGUUAUUUCUGUCUAAAAGACAGAGUGAGACUCACUUGUUCCAUGAUAUUGAACAAAACAUGGAUGCUGGCAGUUGGCUUGGCCCACCCCAUGAUUCUUCUCUGCAAUGGAUUAACC